rnacentral:rRNA from 1 species
GAUGAACGCUGACAGAAUGCUUAACACAUGCAAGUCGAUGGGGAAGUGGUGCUUGCACCCUGGUAACCAUGGCGGAUGGGUGAGUAACGCGUAAGGAACUUGCCUGCGGGACUGGGAUAACAGCAGGAAACUGCUGAUAAUACCGGAUAAGGUCAUUAAGCUGCAUAGCUUAGUGAUGAAAGGAGACGCCUGCGGAGAGCCUUGCGUCCUAUUAGCUAGUUGGAGGGGUAACGGCCCACCAAGGCGAAGAUAGGUAGCCGGCCUGAGAGGGUGGACGGCCACAAGGGGACUGAGAUACGGCCCUUACUCCUACGGGAGGCAGCAGUGGGGAAUAUUGGACAAUGGGGGCAACCCUGAUCCAGCAAUUCUGUGUGCACGAAGACGGUUUUCGGAUUGUAAAGUGCUUUCAGCAGGGAAGAAGGAAGUGACGGUACCUGCAGAAGAAGCGACGGCUAAAUACGUG